ACACCGUACAUCGUUGACUUUUUAGGCCUGCCAGGCCCUAGCUAGGGGAUUAGCCACUCAUGGCCAUUGAGGGUUUACAACUGGGGGUGAAAGAAAGAAUAGGGAUAAAAACAAAGAAGAUAGAGGAGGAAGAGAGAGCUCAGGCUUGGAGUGCUGAAAACAGUGCUCUGAGGCGAGAUGAUUUGAUUCCCUGGGAUUGACUCUUUAUUUAUAGUUGCUGAAGUGGGCUUUGGGUCUUCAGAGUCACGCUCAGCGCGACACCUCGUGCUUAGCGAGUUCGGAUCGCGCGCUCAGCGCGCCUUGCCAGCUUAGCCUAUACUUCUGUUGAAUCGCGCGCUUAGCG
rnacentral:lncRNA from 1 species